rnacentral:rRNA from 1 species
GACAGAGGGUGCAAACGUUGCUCGGAAUCACUGGGCGUAAAGGGCGUGUAGGCGGGUAGGCAAGUCGGGCGUGAAAUCCCUGAGCUCAACUCAGGAACUGCACUCGAAACUGCUUAUCUUGAGUGCCGGAGAGGAAAGCGGAAUACCUGGUGUAGAGGUGAAAUUCGUAGAUAUCAGGUGGAACACCAGUGGCGAAGGCGGCUCACUGGACCAUAAACUGACGCUGAUGCACGAAAGCUAGGGGAGCAAACAGG